UACGGAGGGUGCGAGCGUUGUCCGGAAUCCCUGGGCGUAAAGGGCGCGUAGGCGGCCUGAUAAGUAGGGGGUGAAAUCCUGCGGCUUAACCGCAGGGCUGCCUUCUAAACUGUCAGGCUCGAGCACAGUAGAGGCAGGUGGAAUUCCCGGUGUAGCGGUGGAAUGCGUAGAGAUCGGGAAGAACAUCAGUGGCGAAGGCGGCCUGCUGGGCUGUUGCUGACGCUGAGGCGCGACAGCGUGGGGAGCAAACAGG
rnacentral:rRNA from 1 species